AGUGCAUUUGCUGGGUCAUAUGGUAGUUGAAUGUUUUGUUUUUUAAGAAACUGCCAAGCUAUUUUUCCAGAGUAGCUGGACCAUUUUACAUUUCCACCAGCAGA
rnacentral:pre_miRNA from 1 species